GAUCCUGCUCAGGAUGAACGCUAGCUACAGGCUUAACACAUGCAAGUCGAGGGGCAGCAUGAACUUAGCUUGCUAAGUUUGAUGGCGACCGGCGCACGGGUGAGUAACACGUAUCCAACCUGCCGAUGACUCGGGGAUAGCCUUUCGAAAGAAAGAUUAAUACCCGAUGGCAUAGUUCUUCCGCAUGGUGGAACUAUUAAAGAAUUUCGGUCAUCGAUGGGGGAUGCGUUCCAUUAGGUUGG
rnacentral:rRNA from 1 species